UUAAGGAGAGUUCUAUUGACAAGAAUACUGAUGGGGAUGAGGUGUCUGCUGCCUCUGCUCGGGCACCGGUUGGUUUUGCCAUUGUCGCUGCCUAUCAGUUUAGAUGGUUUAUUAGUCAGGUUGAUUAUCCACAUUUGGGAAAAGUGUCUAAUUUGGUGAUUCCUUGUGGGUUGACUGCACUUGAUCACUGGUCACCAGAGGUGAAAGGGCAAGGCAUGAUUAGUUUCAUACAUCUUGCAAAAAAUUUGAAUGAUGCG
rnacentral:misc_RNA from 1 species